AAUUAAUGCCCCUUUUUGUAGAGCACAGUACCUCACUGGCUGUAGCCAUAGGCGUGCGCAUGGGGUGUGCCUGGGCACACCCUAAUCCCUGCAGCAUGCACUAUGUGCCUCCCUCCAUGGGCUGGUGAGGGAGACCAACCCACAGGCAGUGAGGGAGGCAGGAGAGGACCCGGGGAGCAGUUGCCAGCAGCUCCACCAGGUUCCUCUCGCGAGGUCGGAGCGUUGCUGCGGUUACCCUGUGGGGCUAGAGUUCACUCACCACUGGACCACCAGGGAUGGCAGCAGCAUGGUAUAGGAUUUGGAAACAUUUCAAGAAAACACUGCUAUAUUUAGAAAGAGCAACGAUGUGGUAAUGUACAAAAAGCUCAUAUUGUGGUCCUUAAGAGAUUUCCUAUCAUUUGUUUCUGUGUAGUACAGAAGUGAGACUGUAGCAGAGAGUCUGCUCUACACGUUGUUCCUUUAUGUAUUCAGUUUUCCUUCAGACAUUUACCACGAAGGAAGGCCUUUCUACGCUGAUUGGCUGAUAAGGUAGCUGAUUGUUUACAGUACAUAGACCUCAUUGUUAAAAGGCCGAAUAACACAAAAUUAAGAAUUUUUUUGAAACUCUGUUUUAUCCUUGCCCACAGCUACAGGUAGAAAUAAUUUUAUCUGCCUUUUAUGAAAGGUAUGAUAAGGUAAGAAGGGAGGGGGGCUAUUAACUAAACGGCCCCCACACAAUACACACUAACAGCACACACACAUACUAACAGCACCCUCACACAUACAUCAUCCUUACACACAGCACACACACAUACUAACAGCACCCUCACACACACAGCAUCCUUACAAACACACACAUACACACACUUACAGCAACCUCACACACAGCACCCUUACACACACACACAACACCCUCACAAACACACAGCGCAUACACACACACAUCAGUGUAUGUGUGUAUAUAUAUAUGUGUGUGUGUGUGUGUAUAUAUAUAUAUAUAUAUAUAUAUAUAUAUAUAUAUAUGGCGUGUGUGUUUGUGCUUUAGGGUGCACACCCUUAUGCAAAAGGCUGCGCACGCCUAUGGCCGUAGCAACUGCUGAGUGACAUUACACUUUGCUGCCUAAUUUGUUGUCGAUAACGAUUCCCAAAUCCUUCUCGUGUGUUGUUAUCCCUAAUUCAGUACCAUUAGGGUACAAAUCGCUAAUGCAUUCUUUGCUCGGAUUUUUCUACAUUAAAAGUUUCAUCUGCCAUUUUAGUGCCCCCAUCUAUCUAAAUCCCUCUGCAUUGAAAAAAUAUUCUGCUCACAUUGUAUUACUUUGCAGAGUUUUGUGUAAUUUGCAAACUCUGAAACAUGACUUUCAAUGCCUAUUUCAAGAUCAUUUAUAAAUAUUUUAAAUAGAAGCUGUUCUAGAACAGAACCCUGAGGGACACCAAUUACCAUGUUUGUCCAGCUUGAAAAUUUACCAUUUAUGACAACUCUCUGUACUCUAUCUUUAAGUCAAUGUUCUACCAAAGAACAAGAUUUUUCAUCUAAACCAGUGGUUCCCAACCUAUCCUCAUGGCCCAGCGACAGUCCAGGUUAUUUUCAGUAUCUCUGUUGCAAUAAAUGAGGAAACUACAUAAAUUUUUGAUUUUAUAACAAGACACGGAGGCUCAUAUUGCAUAUCCCUUUCUUUACUGUCCACCAAUAGCAGCAAAGAAUACAAACAGAAUGAAAAAAUAAUGAACAUGCAGUAACAUAGGCCCCUCCCCGCUCAGGUCCCAGUAUAACAGGCAGCACUUCCCUUCCAUUUCCCUCUUUCUUUGCUGCUCCGACACAAAGAUAAGUACAUGUCAUUUUUUUCUCUUCAUAUUCUCUUAUUAUACUGUUUUUUUCUCAUUGAUAUUUUCUGUCAGUCUGCUUACCACUUAACCUGGUAGCAUUCUAUAGUUUUUCCUACCAUAUUUAUCUUACAUUUAUUUGUAUUUAUUGUAUUUAUAUAUUUAUUUAUUCAUUUUAUUUAUAUUUAUUUCAUUUUCAUUUUGUAUUACAAUUAUUUAGUAUUUUGUCUCAUCUAUGUCUUUAUCUGUUUUUCUGUUAGUCUCAGGGCCCAGACCUCCCCUGUCUAUGUAGUCUUGUCUCCUGUCUGUCUUUUUGCCCUGGCGCCAUUUUGCGCACCUUCUCUCCCCGGCCGUGUAUGCGUGCGAAUUGAUUCGCCGCACACACAUCUCAUUCCCCAUUCAGCGAAAAGAGCGUUUGCAUGUUUGCCGCAUUCGAAUUUUUUAUGCGAACGGUACGUUCGCCUAUUCUAUAUUCCCAUAUACUUACCUUUCUGGUUCCCGAAUUCACCUUAUUUUACCGAACGUUCGGUAGUUUUACCGCGAAUCUCGCGAAUCCCGCGAGAUUACCGGUGGCCAUUUUCAGACUUCCUGUCUCCUACAUCUUAGUGUGUCACUGGUUUGGGCCCUGGUGAGAGCGUUUUUAGCUUUGUCUAGCUGUUUGGGUGACUAACCCAUACCUUUUCUCUUACCUAUUCCCUGCUAAUUUUCUCAGCAUGCCUAAACCCAGACUAUCCGCUGGGCCCACUCCCUCUGGGGAGUCUGAUACCCCACUCAUUAGGAGUGAGGUUCCUGUCACCUCAGACAACUCGCCUACUAUGGCUGAUGGAACUACCCACCCUGAUGGGGCACAGUUCCUAGCGCUGCAGCGCUCAGUGACAGACGCCAUUAUGGCGGCCAUGGGGUCUAUGUCCUCCACCCUCUCCCACACCAUUUCACAGGCCCUCUUGCCAUGUCCUUCAGACGAGCAACUUUCGGGCUUCUCGACGCCUUUACCGCGUCCCUCCAUGAAACCCCAGGGAGAGGUGUUUAAAAAGGCUACCCGUAAGUCCAAGCAUCCCUCUGCCUCCAGAAACACCAUGACUGGCGUACCUUCGGUCGCCCCAGAAAGCGUGUCCCAUCCACGCAAAAGAGCCUUUCUGCGCCAGGCAGAACGGGCGCGGCUAUGGAAAUGUGCCAGAGCACAGAUAGAGAGCGACACCGACUCAGAAAUCAGGUCAAAUGAGGAGGCUAAGAGCGAGUCAGAUACUGACUCUGAUGUGGAUGCCACUGAUGCUGGUCUUGACCUCCUUUCCUCUGCUCAGGCAGAGAUGCCCGGAGGCGAGAUAGGGAUCAGGAACCCCGCGGCUGCGGGGUCCACCCUUGUGGAUCCUUCGGGUGUCCCACUCUUCGACCCGGAUGAUCUACACCAUCCGAGGUCGGCAGAGUGGCUCCCGGCUGACCACGUUGCCACAUACCUGGAAAAUUGGGUCAGAAGACCCUUAUGUAAAGCGGCCCGCAACAAAUUGAGGGCAGAGUGUCCUAGGCCUGUGGUGCCUAACAAAGUUUGUGACACUCCGGAGGUACACCCCAAGAUGACCCAGUUCCUCACUAAAAUGGGCUGUAAUCCCCGUAAAGGACUGGAGUCGGCAUUGAAAUCCUGCCAGGACAAACACCUGGACAUAUUCGGCCCCUUGGCCAAAUUAUUUGACUUGGCGGAAGACGCCAGAGCAGAAAACCUCAUGGUUGACCCUGAAGACCUUAGAGGUUGGGUCCAGAGAGCAAUAUGCAUUGCUGGGAGUGUAAAUACCUCCCUAUCUAUAGAAAGGCGUAAGGCCAUAUUAUUCAAAAUUGAGCCCAAACUGGCCAACCUCGCCCUUACGGAAGCGGUUAAAGACGCCCAAGGACUUCUCUUCGGAGAUUCCUUCAUAAAAGAUUUAGGGCACUUCGUUGGAGCUUUCACGGCUCUAGACAAGGCCCAAGCCUCCAUGAGGCGAGUAUUCCAGGGGUGGGUCUCUACCAAGGCCGGCAGAUUCAGGAGCCAUCUGUCCGGCCGCAGUUACCCCCAAUCCCGUGGCACGGGAAGAGGCUCCUUCCAGCACCGUAACCAGUACCAGGAUUCCACCUCCCGCCCCACAUUUUUUCCAUCCCGCGGACGUCCAUGGCGAUCCAGAGGCUUUCGGGGUAACCCAAGCUCAAGACGACCAUAUGGUGAGUUGCCUCAUACCACACAUUUCUUCUCCGGCUUACGUAGGGGGCAGACUCCAACAUUUUUUCCCAGCCUGGUCACAAAUCACUUCAGACCCCUGGGUACUGACCACUAUUCGGGGUUUCUGUAUAGAACUCACCAAUCAUCUCAUACACAUUCCCCCUCCUCGACCGAUCUGCUUUUCCCUCCAGGAUCGCAGACGGAUCGACGAGGAACUCUCAACCCUCCUUAUCAAAGGGGCUAUAGAACAAGCACCCCUCAACCCCGCAGGUGUCAUAAGCAAUAUCUUCCUGGUGGAAAAGAAGGGCGGCCAAUUGAGACCCGUCAUAAAAUUUGCGCCCCCUCAAUGCCAUAGUCAGGUACCGCCAUUUCAAGAUGGAAGGUAUUCACCUACUAAGAGAUCUCCUCCAGGGAGACUGGCUAGCGAAGCUAGGCCUAAAAGACGCCUACCUGACAGUGCCGAUUGCGGCGGCAUCUCGAGACCUCCUACGCUUUUACUGGCGGCACGAGACAUGGCGGUUCAUCUGCCUACCCUUUGGCCUCUCCUCAGCACCGUGGUGCUUCACGAAGCUAUUACGGCCUGUGAUGGCCUGGCUACGCAGUCGAGGAGUUUGACUAAUCGUCUACCUAGACGAUAUUCUCCUCAUGGCUCAGGAGCGUUCCACCCUCCUCACACAUCUACGGCUGGCCAUAAACCUCCUUUCACACUUAGGUUUCAUAAUCAACUGGGAGAAGUCAUGCCUGACCCCCCCCACUCGCAUGGAAUUCUUAGGAUUCCUGGUGGAUUCGGGGGCAGCAACGCUGAAAAUUCGAUCCAUCCGCAAAGAGUUAGGCAGGGCCCUCAUCCGGCCCCAGCUCACCUUACGCCAACUUGCACGACUCAUAGGCCUGCUGGCCUCCUCGAUACAGGCCGUGUUCCCAGGUCCACUCCACUACCGAGCGCUACAGCGCCUAAAGAUCGCUCACCUAAGAUCCGGGACAUCCUACGUGGAUCUGGUAUCAUUGGACAGCGAGACGAAAGACGAGUUGCGAUGGUGGAUUCUCAACCUGUCCGCAUGGAAUGGCAAAGCCAUCUUCGGCUCAAUGCCAGAAUUCACAAUCGACUCAGAUGCGAGUCUCCACGGCUGGGGAGCCCACUGCGAGGGAGUCUCAACAGGGGGCCGUUGGUCUGAAUCUGAAUCCCGAAUGCACAUCAACGCCCUGGAACUCCUGGCAGGCUCCUUUGCCAUUCGCAGCUUCGCCAGGGACCGAGCCCUAUCAUGUAUUUGGCUCCGCAUGGACAAUGUUUCGGCGGUGAGAUAUGUCAACCACCUGGGUGGUACACAGUCGGCAGUCCUGGCCAGAUUGGCGAAAGAGUUUUGGGAAUUUUGCCUGGAACGGAACCUGAUGGUCUACGCGGAAUACCUACCUGGUCUGCACAAUGUCCAGGCGGACUGGGGUUCACGUUAUCUCUCAGACACCAGCGACUGGAGAUUGGCCAAGGAGGUGUUCUCCAAUAUAUCGUAUCUCUGGGGACCGUUUACCAUAGACCUUUUCGCUUCCCGGCUCAAUGCCCAACUCCCACGCUUCUUCAGCUGGAGGCCAGAUCCAAUGGGGGAGGCAGUGGACGCCUUCCUACAAGACUGGAAUGGAGGCCUCCUAUAUGCCUUUCCCCCAUUUUCCAUGAUCCCGCGCUCACUCCUACAGACCCGCAAACACCGGGCAGAAGUGGUCAUGGUCACCCCAUUUUGGGAAACGCAGUCGUGGUUCCCCCAAAUGCUCGAGAUGACCUUAGACUAUCCCCGACUACUACCGGGACACCACAACUUGCUGCAGGACCCGAUGGGACGAUAUCACCCUCUCCGGUUAGAAGGCUCUCUCCCACUCCUGGCAUGGCGGAUCUCCGGGGACCCUGGGAAAUCCAAGGAGUUUCGGACACAACUAGACACCUAUUGCCAGCAGCAUGGGCUCCCGGCACUAGACUGGCAUAUGGGUCAGCUUGGCGAGCUUGGGCUGGCUGGUGCAUGGCUAGGAACGCGGAUCCCGUUUCGGUCUCUGUAACAAUGGUCCUGCAGUUCCCGACGUCCCUCUUCGAGGCUGGAAAGGCUUACAGGACUAUUAACCUUUAACGAUCUGCUAUCUCGGCGAUUCACCAAGGCUUUGAUGGCUGCCCCGCGGGACAGCACCCCUUAGUGUGCCGACUCCUCAAGGGUUCUAGAUUUUCACGACCACCCAGGCCCCGCUACUCCACGACCUGGGACGUCUCGGUCGUAUUGGCUUUCCUCUCAUCCUGGCCCGCUAACUCAGGACUCUCCCUCAAACAGCUAUCUGCCAAAUUGGUUUGCCUGCUCUGCCUCGUCUCAUGCAAGAGGGUUUCGGAUGUCAGAGCACUGGACUUCGAUGCCAAGUCAUAUACCCCGGACGGGGUAACUUUCAACAUCAGCAGGCGGACUAAGACUUCCAUCAAAUCAGUAUCCUACCCUAGUUUCCCUACCUCUCCUUCACUAUGCCCAGUGGCCUGCCUUCGCGAAUACGAGACUCGCACCAACCCACAUCGCUCUACCGUCUCUCCUCAGUUGUUUUUAUCUUUCCGUCCUCCUUUUCACCCGGUUUCUAGCACUACCUUGUCACAAUGGGUGAAAUGGCUGUUGUCCCAAGCAGGUAUUGAUACCACGAUAUUUGGCGCCCAUUCGGUCCGGGGGGCAUCAGCCUCUUCUAUGAUGUCGGCAGGCGCACGCCUGAAGGACAUUAUGAGGAUGGCUGACUGGUCUAGGGAGUCUACAUUCCGGGAAUUUUACUUUCGGCCGGCCCCACAUACAUUCGCUGCGGUAAUGGAUCAGCUUUAAACUUGCAAUAUGAGCCUCCGUGUCUUGUUAUAAAAUUACAUGAUUUUGCUAUUACAUGACGAAAAGUCAUGAUUUUAUUAAAGACACGGAGGCGAGUAUUGUCCCACCCUUUUUCGUUCUUACACAGUUGUAAUAAUAAUAAUUUUCCCUCCCCGAAUUACUCAUACUACAAUACACCAGUAUGGUACGGUAAGUGGGGCCAUACUUAGACAAUGAUGUUUCAGUAAUGCUGGGUAUAUCAGUUGUUUUGUGGGACUGUGCAUAUGUUGGUUAUUUUUGAAACUAGUUACAAGUAUCGACUUUAACCUGUCGGCUCCUGUUCCUUUAUGUUUUCACAGCUUAAUCCGGCAAGACGGCAAGCAGUUGUUCGGCUUAGAAGGACUCCUCCCGCUGUUAUCCGAUGGUCCUAUGACUCCUAUGGUCAAGCUUUCCAGUUAUUGAUGUUCU